CACCAAGAGAUCAAAAGAGGAGGGGCGUGAGCCCCUCCCUCUUAUGUUGCCCUAAUCCUCAUUAAGUAAGGUUUUGGUUGCCCUAAUGUGGCUAAGCCCUAAUCUAAUUAGGCUUAGUCCAAGGGGAAACCAAAUUGGAUCCAAUCUAGGUAAGUCCUAAUCCAAUUAGAACUUAAAUCAAUUUUGACUCAAUUGAACUCUUCAAUCCUAAUCUAAUUAGGAGUCUUAUUGUUUCAUUAGAUUAAUAAUUAAUUGUGACUUAAGAAACCCUAAUCCAAAUUAGGACAUAUUUAAUUUUAGUCCUAAUCCAAUUAGGACUCUAUUUGAAUCCGAAGUCCUAAUC
rnacentral:lncRNA from 1 species